rnacentral:lncRNA from 1 species
GCAGAAAAUCCCCCUCUUGGCUCUUCACAUAUGACAUGCACUCUCUGGACGUGGAUGAGAUGUCACCCCCUGGGAAAGCUCUUUCUCCUCCCAUGGCAAACAUCCCACGGUCUCUACUUUCCCCCAUGGUCUUCUGAAAUUUGAGGAGCACAUGUGUCUUAUUUACCCUGGAUCUCUGGUGCCAACUACGGUGUCUGGAGUAGAGAGGUACGACAAAUAUUGGCUGAAUGAAUGACUCAAUCCGUCCCCCUCCCCACCCCCACCACAAAGCAAACCCAGGGGCAUAAUAAUUAACCCAUCUGGCCAAGCAAAUGCAAGCCAGGGGAGGACUUCUCUAGUGUCUUUUCCAUUCUUCUAUAUUCUCUGUUGUUUUUUAUUUUUUAAAGAAAAGAACUUGCAUUGUUAAAAAUUAAAUCAUGACCGUUAGAAAGCAUCACUUGUAAAUGAUGGCACAAAACUGCAAACAACUGAUAAAAACCAAGAAAGGCUUCUUCGUAAAUGCUGUCCCUUGUUACCAGUUUAAAAUAAGGUUUUUUCCUUCUAACCAUGACCUCGUUGCCUUUGCCUUUUUGUGGGCAAAGACAGGCGCUUCUGUAGCUUUGAACUUUCCUCCUUUAGCUUGUACUCAGCUGCUGGUCGGUCCACAGGUGUCAAAUGCUGCGCUCUGCCAUUUGCUUACACCGAGCACUGAGCCUCCCGCGCAUUGUUAGCUUCAUCCACCCAUGUGUAAGCUCUGACUCUGCGCUGAACUCUUGCUCACCUUGCCUGCCUCUGAGCUGCCUUUGAAGGGGCAGGCCUGUCAGGGGUCUGAAUCUGCUCCAGCUGUUCCUAAUUCUUUCAUUCCUGAAGGCUGCCUCAGAGCAUCAGAGCAUUGCCUGCUUCUCAGAGAAGAGGCUGUACUGGGAGAAGCAGGGGUGCGUGCUUUGCUCUGCCCACAAGCCUGCUCCUCUCCCUCUGGGCCUUGGGAGAGAUGCUAGUCGUUGAUGCUAAUGAAUUUUUGCUUGGUUUUAUUUCACCAAAAAUUUUACUCCUGGGAGUUCCCAUUGUGGUUCAGUGGUAACGAACCUGAUUAGCAUCCGUGACGACACAGGUCUGAUCCCUGGCGUUGCUCACGUUAAGGAUCCGACAUUGCCGAGAGCUGUGACGUAGGUCGCAGACAUCAUUCAGAUCUUGCAUUGCUGUGACUGCGGCAUAAACUGGCAGCUGUAGCUCUGAUUCCACCCCUAGCCUAGGAACCCCUAUAUGCCGUGGGUGUGGCCCCAUAGGAAAAAUUACUCAUGAAAGAAAAGUUGGCAAUAGAGAAACCUGGGAAAAAAAUUUACCAACCUCACUGCUCCCAUUAGGAUUUCGAUAUAUUUCUUUUUAGUCUCUUAUCCACAUUGAAAAUGUUAAUUUUGAACAAUUAUUCUCCUUUCAUGCAUACAAUUUUAUUUUAUUUUUUAAAUUUUUAUUGAAAUAGAGUUGAUUUACAAUGCUGUGUAAGUUUCAAGGUGUACAGCAAAAUGAUUCAGUUAUACGUAUCCACAUACUUCUGUUCUUUUUCAGCUUCUUUCCUCCUAUAAGUUUUACAAAAUAUUGAGUAUGGUCCCUUGUGCUAUACAGUAGGUCCUUGUCAGUUAUAUAUUAUAUUUAUAUUAGAGUGUAUAUAUUAAUCCUAAAUCCUAAUUUACCCUCCCUUCCUUCUCCCCUUUGGUAACCAUAGGUUUAUUUUCUGUCUGUGAGUCUCUUUCUUUUUUGUAAAUAAGUUCAUUGGUAUCAUUCAAAACUUCUUUCCUGAUAGCACAUUUCCUGGGGAAUAAAAACAUCUCCAAUUUACUGAAUUAUGACCAGAUGCCAUUGGUGCCCUAAAUAGGUUAUAAAUAUCACUUCAGGUAAUCCUCACUAUAACCCUAUGAAGUUAGUAUUGAUUUUAAUGUCCUCAUUUUAAAAAAGUUAAUUAAUUUUUUAUUAUAUAUUGGAGAAUAGUUGACUUACAGUGUCAUGCAUAUACUUUUAUAUUUUUAAUUCUCCCUUAGCAUUGUUGAAGUCUAUUUUGCAUAAUAUUUCACUGAAUGGAUAUCCCAGAAAAUAAUUAUUCUCCUCUCGUUACACGUGUACACUGUUUCCAUUGUCAGUGUAAAAGAAUAACAAAAUGAAUGGAAGUGAAGCACAGAGAAAAAAGCAAAACAACCGCAAGCUUUAAGCCUAAAACCUUGUCUCUAUUUAGAAUGCUUUCCUUCCUAUCUCCAUUCUGAAGGGAAAUUACUGAGUAAAAGAGAGUAAAUAUCUCCAAAGAUCCUAUUUCAUUUGCUGGAAUUGUUUCCCAAAUAUGUACUGAUUUAUAUACAGCUCGGUGUGGGUGAGGGUGGCCAUUUCAUUCAUUCUCGACAGGCUGUACUUAUACAUUUUGUUUUUCUCCUGAAUUUCAUAGAUCAAUGUGGCAGCAUUAUUUUUGAUUCCCAGUGAAUUGAAACGUUUUCGCAAAUGUUAAUUUAUAUUAAUUGUGGGGUCCUAUGAAAUUCUUUUCAUGGCCUUUGAUCAUUAAUGUGUUUGGGAUUUUGUACUUACCUUUCUUACAGCUUGUUAUUUAAUAAAGAAGUUAACCGUCACAUUUGCUGCAAAUGUUCUUCCUGUGGUAGCUUAUGUUUUCAAUGUUUGUGUCUGUAGCAUAUGGGAGUUCCCAGGCUGGGGUCGAAUGGGAGCUGCAGCUGGGGCCAUGGCAAGACGGGAUCUGAGCUGCAUCUGCCGCCAAUGCUGCAGCUUGUGUCAAUGCUGGAUCUUAACCCACUGAGAGAGGCCGGGGAUCGAGCCUGCAUCGUCGUGGAGAGAAUGUUGGGUCAUGAACCCAGUGAGCCACAACGGGAUUUCCUGUUUUGAAUGUUUAUCUAUAGAUUUAACAUAUAUUGGUGUAAUUAAAUCAAUUUAUCCUUUUAAUUUGUACUUUAUUACAGCUUUAAAAAUCCUUCUCACUCCUGGUCUGCUCUUCCACUCACCCAAACAUUUAGUAAUGUUCACUUCCGUAUCGUUUUCUGAGAUUUUAUGUUUUGAUAUUUUUUGCAUGUAACAUAUGGCAUUUUAUUCUAGUGUAUGGAGUCAAGCGAAAAGCUGUAUUUUUUUUUUUUUUUCCUAGAUUUUUAACCAAAUGUCCCCAGAACAUUUCUGGAACAUUCUUUACUUUGUCCACUGAUUUGGGAUUCUUUGUUAAUUAUAUUUUCAAUUCCUGAAUACACUGGGGUUUAUUGUUGGACAACUGGCUAUAGUUUAUUGAUCUGUGGCCGUCUUUGUGCCAGUAGUCAGUAUUUAGCAAAUUGAAACUUUAUAAUAUGUUUAAGUUUCAGGGUAAAGUUUAUACUUAUUUUUCAACAUUUGCAAAAAGCCCCCUUUUGGUGUGUAUUUGAAAAAAAAAUCCUUGCAUUUAUUUGGGAUGUAUUUGCCAUGAUUAAAAUAUGUUGUCUUUCCUUCCAGAGCACAGCAAACCUUAUGGGUUCCAUUUCUAUUAAUGUUAUUUCUGGAUUUUUACUAUAUAUAUUUUGUGGAUAUUAUUAGUGUAGUCUUUUUUUCCUUUGAAUUUUAAAAGGUUAUUUCAGUUAUACAAAAAAAAAAGACUAUACAAUUGAUUUCACUGACCUCUCAUUACACUCAAAAUUAAAUCAAAUUUUUUACCAUAUAUCAAAAAUCUAUGAUCUGGCCUCUGCCUACCUCAACCCCACUCAUCUCGUACUACCUUCCAUUUUGCUUUCAUAGGCUCCUUUUAGUUUCUUCAAUGACCUGUUUUUCCACAGGUUUCUUCCACCCUGUGCCCUCUGCCUGGAAUAUUCUUCCUAUCUUCUUCAUGAGGCUAAUUCUUUCUUCCCCUUCAGGUCACCUGUCACUUCCUCAGAGAGGCCUUUCCUGACCACAUAAUAUAUUAUAUGCCUCACACUCCCCAUCUUUUUUCUCUCUCGUGGUAACUUGUAAAUACCUAUUUACUUAUGUGCUAAUUAUUUUAGUGGUAGGAAGCCUCAAGAUGAGCACCCAUAUUCCCCACCUCCUGGUUUCAUGCCCUUGGAUAAUCCCCUUCCUAUGAGGGUGGGCUGGACUGGUGACUUGCUCCUAAUGAAUACAAAUCCUUGAGGAGCACUUUUGAUGUCAGGUUCCUUCUGUCCUGCCCUCUGGCUGGCUUGCUCUGGGGGAAGCCAGCUGCCAUGUGAGCCUCCCUGUGGAGAAGCCCGGUGGUAAAAAAUUGGGGCAAGUCAGCAAGGAACCGAUCUGUUCAGUCCAACACUCCAUGAUUCCUGCCAAAAGCCCCUUGAGUCUUUCCCCAAACAUAUCAGGAAACAGAUUUGGUAAAAGCCUAUCCAGUCUUUACCAUAACAAAACCAACUUAUUUAAUUUCCUACUCUUGUGUGUGUGUGUGUGUGUGUGACCACUGUCUCACACAAAACCUAUUCUCCAGCCAGUAAACUGGCACUUUGUUAUUUUUUUAUUUUAUUUUAUUUUAUUUUAUUUUGUCUUUUUGCUAUUUCUUAGGCCGCUCCUGCGGCAUAUGGAGGUUCCCAGGCUAGGGGUUGAAUUGGAGCUGUAGCCACCGGCCUACGCCAGAGCCACAGCAACGCAGGAUCCGAGCCGCGUCUGCAACCUACACCACAGCUCACGGCAACGCCGGAUCGUUAACCCACUGAGCAAGGGCAGGGACCGAACCCGCAAUCUCAUGGUUCCUAGUCGGAUUCGUUAACCACUGCGCCACGACGGGAACUCCCACUUUGUUAUUUAGUUAGUUAUUUGAGUUGAUAAAGAUUUACUGAGUACCUGUUAUGUUCCAGUUACUGAAUUAAGCAUAGGAAUAAAACAAUGUGCAAAACAUACACACCCCUUGUAUUGUUGGAGUUUAGGUGGUAGAAAAGUACAGACAGGGAGUUCCCAUCGUGUCUCAGUGAUGAAGAACCUAACUAGUAUCCACGAGGAUGCGGGUUUGAUCCCUGGCCUCGUUCACUGGGUUAAGGAUCUAGUGUUGCCAUGAGCUGCAGUGUAGACAUGGCUCAGAUCCUGCAUUGCUGUGCCUGUGGUGUAGGUCAGCAGCUCCAGCUUGGAUUUGACCCCUAGCCUGGGAACUUCCAUAUGCUGCAAGAGUGGCCCUACAAAGACAAAAAAAAAAAAAAAAAAAA